GACGUACUCCCUCCGUCCGGAAAUACUUGUCAUCAAAAUAAAUAAAACAGGAUGUAUUUAGAUGUAUUUUAGUUCUAGAUACAUCCUUUUUUGUUCAUUUUGAUGACAAGUAUUUUCGGACGGAGGGAGUACCGU
rfam:Triticum aestivum genome assembly, contig: Triticum_aestivum_CS42_TGACv1_scaffold_030957_1BL